rnacentral:lncRNA from 1 species
AGUUCGACCUUCCUGGACGCAUACUGAUUUCGGCUACAAGAAAGGAACUUUCUCGCUCAACUAUCAAAGGAGGGAAAACACAAUCUCUACACAACGACACUUUCAUUUGGCAGUUGGCAGUUGAUGGAAGAAACAGAUUAAUAUAUUUUGCAGAUCUGGGGUCGAUGUCUGUGAUUGAUUACGAUGGCAAGGGUCUCGAGGAAAUACAUGAUAGACAGCCUGGAGACAUUUUUUACAAUGAAGCCGAUAAACGACUUUAUUGGGUCGACUCCGACACAAAGACUGUCAUAAGCCAGAGGCAAGAUCCACUGGGUGACCAACAUGCUAUUCAGAAGAUUGACAAAGAAACCUUCUUUCUAACCAUUCACAACCAAGUUCUUUAUCUCAAGGAAUAUGCUGAGAGGUAUGUAUACUGCUUGUCACGUAUUGAUGUUUGUUUGUUUGUUGUUUAACGCCGCACUCAGCAAUA